GAUGAAGAACGUAGCGAAAUGCGAUAAGUAAUGUGAAUUGCAGAAUUCAGUGAAUCAUCGAAUCUUUGAACGCACAUUGCGCCCGCCAGUAUUCUGGCGGGCAUGCCUGUCUGAGCGUCAUUUCAACCCUCAUGCCCCUAGGGCGUGGUGUUGGGGAUCGGCCAAAGCCCGCGAGGGACGGCCGGCCCCUAAAUCUAGUGGCGGACCCGUCGUGGCCUCCUCUGCGAAGUAGUGAUAUUCCGCAUCGGAGAGCGAUGAGCCCCUGCCGUUAAACCCCCAACUUUCCAAGGUUGACCUCAGAUCAGGUAGGAAUACCCGCUGAACUUAAGCAUAUCAAUAAGCCGGAGGA
rnacentral:misc_RNA from 1 species